GUGCUUUUUCUCUUUCUCAUAAUCUUCACCAGUUUUGCCUUCAUCAGUAGUCUCUUCAAAAUUAGUGGUCUCAGAUGAGUAGGCAGCUCCUUUUCCAUAGGUAUCUCCUUCACCAUAAUUAGUUUUCUCUCCAUAGGUAGUUUCAGAUGGAACAUCUCCAUAGCCACUCUUGUUUUCAUAGCCACUCUCUCCAUAACUAGUCUUAUUUUCAUAGCCACUAUCUCCAUAGCCACUCUUGUUUUCAUAGCCACUAUCUCCAUAGCCACUCUUGUUUUCAUAGCCACUAUCUCCAUAACCAGUCUUAUUUUCAUAGCCACUAUCUCCAUCGCUAGUCUUAUUUUCAUAGCCACUAUCUCCAUAGUUACCUCCCUCACCAUAACUAGUUUUCUCUACAUAUCCACUUUCUCCAUAGUCAGUUUUCUCACCAUAUUUGUUAUCCCCAUAGUUAUCUCCCCCACCAUAACUAGUUUUCUCACCAUAUGUAUUCUCUCCGUAGGUAGUUUUUUCAGUAUCACCACCAUAUGGAGUUUCUCCAUAGGUAGUUUUGUCUUCCUCCUUGUCCUUGUGGUGGAAGAGACCGAAGUGGUGCUUCUUCUCUUCAGCCAUUUUGGUGAUAAAUGUGAUGGUUGACGAGUUUUGAAAAAAGUAGUAGUACGUACAAUAUACUUGGGUGCUGUUGGGAUGUUUUCUCUUGUUAAUAUUGAGUGGUAUUUAUAACUACUGUUGGUUAUAACUAGCUAGCCUAUGAGUUUGGAACUUGAGUUAGUUGAUGUGAGGACGACUAAUUUGUUUGUCCAGUGACCGUGUGUACGAGUUUUAUCCAAUGUUCGCACCUCUUUAAUUUGCAUGAAGGAAGUUUGUUACGUAGAUUUUUCAAUCCAUGUGGCGAAAAUCGACGAAUGCUUAAUUGUUAUGCCGACAUGAUACAUGACUCGCAUGCAUAUUCAUUUAUUGAGUUUUAGUGAGACAAACUUUAUUUCCGUCAUUAACUGCUUUAACUACGUAUGAUAUAUACGAUACGAAUAAUUAUAAACCUCUUUGCUGCGCAUUUUUUCUAGCUAACAUUAAGAAUUAGAUCAGACACUAUCAUGCAACAAAGAAAAGGAAGUGGCGAUAGAAACAACAAAAAAAGAUAAUGACAAUUGAGGAAUGGGUAACGAGUUUAUGUAUACCACCCACGUAACCUUCAAAACUCAAAUAUCGUGGGAGGAUUUAUGUUUAGUCUUUAGAAUACAAUUAAACUUCUAAAAUCGUCCAAAAAGGGAAAAGAAGGGGAAAAAGACUAAACAAAUUACCAUUUUCCUAUGUUUUGAAUUAAGUAUCAUAUGUAUAUAAGUUUUUUUCGGAAAUAUAGGGUUUAGUCCUAAUCCUAUAUGUCUGUGCCUUUGGCCUCAAAAUACUCUAGUCAGCCUCAACUUUUGUGUGUGUCGAUUGUCAAAACUAUACCUAUCUCAAUUCUUAGUUUACCCAAUGAACUGAGGCCCCAUGUCAUAUUGUUCAUUCUCCAAAUAUCUGGUUUUAAACGUGACGUGCGAGAGAAUGUGUGUCGAUUAAUUAGAACGUUCCACAUUAGUAAUCGAAUAUUGUCUUGAGUAAUCCUUACAACAUGAUCGUCAAGUUUUUUAGAUGAAUUUAUUAGUCCCAAUAUCCAUCUUCUUAACAAUGUCCUACAUAGUUAGGCUGAAAAUUAACUCAAUGUAGGCUUAAUUAUAAGUAGGCAAGUAGUCCAUAUUCAAAUGGAUGUCACCUUCACGGCUUCUCCAUUGAAGACCGGAAGGUUGAGGAGCUAUCUACAUAUAUACACACUGUCAGGAUUGCAUGCAACCCUAUAUACUUAAUUAUGUGAAAAUCUAAAUAUGCUUAAUUAUGUGAAAAUGUACAUAUUUUAAUUUCCCAACCUUCUUCUUUAAGAUAUAUAAAUUCAUACGGUGAUUAAAAGAUAUUUGAAACAUCGUAUAUUAGCUUUCAGAAAUAUGGAGUCUUUGGUUCAAAAAUACACGUGUGUUCCGAGCAUUUGCUAUACACUUGACCAAUAGCGAGGUUACUACUCACUCCGUUAUGUAAUCUAUUUCCUUUUUGGUCCGUUAAAAAAAAAAAGACCUUUUUCUAAAUUUGGAAACAAUUUUGGUAAACUUAAAAUUCUACCCUUAAUGAGAAGCUUUUAUAACCACACAAAUACUCUGGACCCUUUUUUUGACUUGUUUAGGACCACAAUUUGCAAAAGUCUUCAUUUUUUCUUAAACUCCGUGCUCAGUCAAACAGAUUUACAUAAAUUGGAACGGAGGGAGUACAAUUUUUUUGAAUUCAGAUAAUCUUUAUCAAUUGUCAUAUUAACAUGUGACUAUUUUGGUAAAUUUUGCUGAAUUAAUGUUAAUGCAUGACUAAGUUGAAAUUAAAUACAACCAUUAAUUAAACUGGUCUAUGCUUACAAGUUUGAACAACAUGACCCUUAACCUAAGCUUUAAUGGGUAUAAUUAUUAAUGAUUGAUACUUUUAUUAGUGGAAGAAUGCGAGUGCAAUAGUUAAGAUGCACAGCACUGUAUGUUAUCAAGAAAGAAAAUUGAGCAACAUAACUUUUUCCUUUCUAAAAAUUUGUAAACUUCCACGAGUGCCACGUUAUAUGUAGAUUUAUGACCCCAUUAGAAGCACAAAAUAAAAAUAUAUAUACUAUCUCAUUAAAAGCAGAAAAUAAAAGGAACAAAAAAAUCAAAAUCAUCAAUAGCAAUUUAUUUCAUUAUCCAUUCUAAUGGAAUUAAAAACAUCGCUAGCUAAUUAACUUUAUUGGCUUCGAUACAAUACACUGAAAACUAUUACGAUCUCCAAAAUAAAAAAAAGAAGUAAAAGUUGGAAAUCACAAAUGGAGAUCUUGAGUAUCUUUGAACCGAAAUCCCAACUCAUCUUCCACAUGAAUUGCUUGAUAGUAAUCUUUUUCAUAACUAUACGAUAUUAAAGUAUGGAUAGCAAUAAAAAGGGUCGGCAUUGCCAUUAUGAUUAGGACCCAUAUUUUGGCAUCUGUUGAAUUUUGAGGAGUGUCGGCAAACUUUUUAGGUAUAUUCAGUCGAACAGUUUCUUUGCUUGCCUUUUAUUUGUUGGUUUAUUGUCUUUGUCCUUCCAACUGCCAUUCUAAUAUCUGAAAACGGAAAAGAGAGGAAAUGGUAUUCUUUUUUUUAUCCCAUCAAAAUGAUCAUUAGUGUUUGCACUUAUUUUUUCACUUACUCGAACCUUUAACCUAUUGGUCAAUGAUGGAGGUGCUCAAAUAUUAAAGCAACUCUCACUUGUCUAAAUUAUUUAUCAUUUUUUUAAUACUUUUUCUAAGGAUCUUAUAUUCGGACUACUAAUUCGAUUAAUUUAAAUUUAUAUUAGUUGAUCCACGAAAGAAGUGAAGCGUUUCUUAAUAAGAGCAUCUAUAUUCUUAAGGUUUGAUUAAAAUUAAUAUGACUGGCUGAUUUGAGAACCUACUAAGUUAGAGUAACAACAAAAGAAUUUAUAGUGGAAAAAGAAGAUUUUCAUGAUGGAAAAAAAGAAGAAUAUUUUCAUGACCUUAUAGGAAACAUGUUCUAUUUUUAACUGUUAAGAUAAAGUUAUACUGAAACAAGAUUGUUUUUUUAUAAAUCGAUUUUCCAAAUUAAGAGACAAGCAUCGAACUAUCGAAGUAAUAUUUGAUCAAGAAAAUGUUUGCUAAAAGUAUGUUUCACAUCUCACCAAAUUGACCCUUCUGUAUCUCACUCUCUUCCUCGACUCUUGUUAUUUAGUGAUUUUUUUAAUACUUGCAUUUUCCAAAUUAGACAUUUUAAAAAAAAAUCUUCUUUACAUCAGUGGUUUAUAACGAGCCGACCAAAAUAGCUGGAGGGACAAAAGAGGAAGCCACCUCAUUUCUGUGGGAUUUAAGUUAUAUAUAUACUUAGUAUAAUUUAACGUACUACCUUAUUACUGCAAUUUAUAUUAGGUGACUAAUAAAUACUAUUAUUAAAUAAAAUUGCAUGCAAUUACUGACCUGAUUUUUAAGUAAUUUUUACACAAUUAGUGUAUACAGUAAUUGAACUUAAACUCAUUUAUGUUUACUAGAGUUGGUUCUUGUUUAAUUUGGAGCCACUUUUAGGAGCUUAAAGGAAACAAAAACAAGGAUUUAAAUAUAUAGCGUGUACAAAAUAAUGUCAAGAAUAAAAUACAUAUACUAAGACUGGUGAUUUUCAUCGUUCAUGCAUAAAAGUUGUUGUUUAAUGCAGGGUCCGAGUUAGAAGUCUGGCUACAUUUGGCAAAACUCCGUAUCUUUUGCUCAAGCAGUGUAUUUGAGUUAAAAUUUUCGCUAAGUAUAUAUAAAUAUUAAAUUUAGAACCCAAUUAUUAAUAUUUAAAAUCGUCGUUUUAAAAUCCAGAACCUAUAAAAUUGAAAUUUUGACUCCGCCUCUGAUUUAACGUUGGAAACUAUUUUCUUGUGUCCUUUUUUUAUUCUUCCAUUCAUUGUUUAUCUUCUUCUUAGUAGGUUUGUAUAAAUUAGCAUUAUAAUUAGGGACGGAUAACUGAACCCUCAGAUCGAGGGAUGAAAAUUUCUGCCCUCUUAGUUAUCCUAAAUCCUAAUUAGCACUACUACUAUUUCCACCAACCCUCUGGACUUCCACUCUUUCUUACAAUUUAUUAAAAUUAUAGGACUACAGUAUGCGUAUGUGUAAAUAGUUACGGUAAAGAUAUUUUAAAAUAUAUAGAGUAAUACAUUCACAGCUCUAAAAUUUUGGAUUAUUAUAUAUGUAUUUAAGGUAAAAAUUUAGGUCGAUUUUCAAAUUUAGGUGAAGUUCAAUGAAAAUUUUAAGAAGAUAAACCUCUUUGAUCAAGUCGCAAAGUCCACAUGCAUAUGUGAUGUUCGGAGAAAGUGAUAGAUACCUGAUAUUUACAGUUUUUAUUUUCUUUUUCUUUUUGUGAGGGUGUAACUUAGGUAUUAAAAACCAAAAAUGUUGGUAUAACAUUAAUUUUCUUUCUCUUCGUUUACGAAAUUAUAUAACUAUUUUUCUUACGAGUUAUGCUUUAGUUUGAAUUUUAUCAUCACCUUCAUCCUAUUAAAAAAAUAAUUAUAAAUCAAAUAGCAUAAUUAAGGGCACAAGUCCUAACAAUCUGAAAUAAAUGUAUCAUCAUCUUGAUGGGAUAAGCUCGUUAGAUGUGCUCAUAUCCCGUUCUAAGUCGUUGACAAACUAAAUUGAUAUAUUGAAAUCUUGUUAAUUAAAUGCUUUUCCAUAUAUNNNNNNNNNNNNNNNNNNNNNNNNNNNNNNNNNNNNNNNNNNNNNNNNNNNNNNNNNNNNNNNNNNNNNNNNNNNNNNNNNNNNNNNNNNNNNNNNNNNNNNNNNNNNNNNNNNNNNNNNNNAAUUGAUGAAAUGGCCCGACAUUGAACAAGAUCGACAAAGUAAGACUAGAUACCAAAAAACAAACCAAAUAGUAAUUAGUAGGUAAAAGAUAAGUUACCACGACGAAUGGAAUGUUACGUGUAGUAUUUUAGUAUGUAAUACGGAAGAUAUAGUGGCCAAAAACUGCAUCUUAUUAUCCCAAAAGAAAAGGAGAAAGUAUAUUUAUUGUGAAUAUUAUUAUCAUUAUGAUUCAAUUAACCACAAUAUUUAUGAUAAAGAAGUGGAAGAAUAUCCAUUGUGAUAUCCGCACCAACACAAGUUAGUUGAUAUAUACAUAUGGAGCGUUGAGUGUCGACAAUUAGUGGGGGUGGGCUUCUGAUGUGAAAUGUGAAUCACAAGAAUCCCUCAUAUAAUUCACUUCUUUAUUAUCUUUAGAGAGAAAUUAAAGCAGCUGAGUCAAAUGGUCCUUUGAAUUAUUACUUGAUUGGACCUUUCGUCAUCAUUGGGUCCAUUUAAUUGAACGUGUCGGCAAGUCUUGAUUCUAGUCGUUCGAUUCAAUCCCAAACCAUAUCCUUUUUCUUUUCAAAUAUGCUAGUAUUACAUUGAGUGAUCUCAAAAAAAAAAAAAAUAAAAAAAAAAAAAUUUACACUAACGAAUAUUAGAUUUGUCUUUUAUGAAUACACACAACACUAAUCAGUGAGAAAAUGGAGAUGCUUGACAAAUUAAAAUGAGGAUGAAGGAGAUCUAAUCAACUUGAAAUUAGUUCAAAAAAUUUCACUCUGAUUUACUUGCAAAGGAGGAAUUUAAAAGAAGUGUUAUACUAAAUUACUACUCUCUCCGUCCCAAUUUAUAUGGCGAUAUUUGACUCGGCACAAAAUUUAACAAGAAAAAAAAAAGAUAACUUGUGGUCUAAAAUAAGUUAGAGAUAUUUGUGUGCCUAUAAAGUAUCUAAAGAUAAAAUAGAAAAUUUAAUGUUGAAUUAUUUUUAAAAUAAAGAAGUAUUACAUUAUUUUUGCAAAAGACAAAAAAAAAAAUGCUAUUGUUUACCUAGCUUAUCCUCUCAUGUCUAUUUUGCUAUCUUACUAGCUAGCGGAUAUGUGGUGGUGGUGGUGGUGGUGGGGUUGGGGGGUGGGGGUUACGACCCACCAACUGACAUUUUCUUCUACUAACUCUUGUAAUAUUGUGGUUCAACUUGGCAGUUUAAACGCUCUACGUAGCACAUAUAUGCAUGCACUGAUACUAAUUCAGUUUAAUACUAAUAUUGUAUAUCGUCUCUCUACAAAAUAGCAAAAACUUACCUUGACCUAAAAAAAUAUCGUCUCUCUAAAAAAUAACAAAAGCUUACCUUUACCUCAAUAUAGCAUCAGAUUAGUGUGUCAUACUCCCGUUCAUUUUGCUUAGUACCUUACAUGAGCCAAAACCUGAUCAUCAUGUAGACCUCGUUUGUUUUCACUUACUUAACGUCUGGAUCUGAAUCCUUUAGGCACGUCAAUUCUAGAGUUUGUGUUUGUUCUAUAUAUUUGUAAAUGAUUUUUCGUUACUAUGUGCUGGAAAUUAAACAAGAUUAACUAGUAUUCUAACAUCGUCUAGGAUUUGGUAUUUACUAGUUUAUUUAAUUUAUGUCUAAUUAGGAUUCACAACCAAAAUCACGUAGGAAUAUAUUUUUCUAGAUUCUAGUCAAAUUUGGAUUGUAGUAUUAUAAAUGUGGAUGCUACAACAUAUUUUCUAUUGUAGAGAGGUAACUACAAUUAGUGGCGAAACUAGAAAUUUUUCCAAGGGUAUUCAAAUUUGAAAGAAGUGAAAAAAGAUUCCCUACAAAAGGGUGUUCAAUAUGUGUUAUAUACCUCUCAAACGUAAUAUUUUACCUUAUACACAGUGCAAUUUUUUGACGAAGGAUGGUCAAGUGACCACCAUUGUGAAUAUGUGGCUUCGCCACUGACUACGAUGUAAAGAGAUUCAAGAGUUUAUGUCACGCCCCGAACCUGGGCCUGGACGUAACACGACACCCGGUGCCUGACUACAUGUGGCCGAGCGAACCAACUGGCUGGCUGAAUCAACAUGUGAUAUCAUAACAUACUGAAUGCGGAAGAUAAACUAACACAUGAUGAUAUAAUGAAAGUCUGAAUUAUGUAGCCAAAAUUACUUAACAUGAAAAGCCUACGACUCUGUCUAACUAUUACUCUAGUCUAUGAAGUCUCUAAUGAAGUACUGAAAACAUCGACUGUCUGAAAAUACUGAAGAUUGUAAGGUAAUGAUAAUGCCCUGAAAGAACUGGGGAUCACCAAUUUGAAUUACACUGGUAUGUAAAGAAACUAAAAGAAAGAACUGUAAAUGCUGAAACUGAAACUGAGCCGAUAAUUGAGAACUGAUAACUGAAAUGAUAACUGCUGAAAUUGAAACUGAAAUGAUAACUGCUAACUGAUAACUGAUAACUGAACAAAGGAAGUAAGGAUAUGAAUACUCCUUCUUCGGAAUGAUGAACCACCUGCUUAUCUGAAUAAACUACGGUCUUGGGCCCAAUAUAUAUGUUCACAAGCUACGGCCUCAGGCCCAAGUUUACCUAUACAUAACUACAGCAUCAUGCCCAAAAAUGCAUAAAGCAUAAACUACAGCCUCAGGCCCAAACAUGCAUAAAACAUAAACUACGGCCUCUGGCCCAAGUAUGCAUAGAGCAUAUAAACUAAGGUCUCAUGCCCAAAUACAGGUGUUCAACAUUAAGGGAUUUAAAUUCAGGAACUGAGAAUCAUACUGCAAUAUGCGAUGCUAAAAUAGUGAAUCAUAUUGAGUUACAUGAUAUUGGAAUACUAAUAGGACUAGACUGAGACAUGUAUUCUUAAUCUGAUUAUGAAAACUGAAACUUCAAUUGUUUAUGACAUGUUGAGUAAUCUAGAUUGAGACUCAUGGGUAUCAAACCCAAGUCUAUAUUGAUUACACACUAAGCUCACAACGUUCAGAAUGAAAGUCAUGAACGAGUUAUGAAGCUGGAUAAUAGAAGUUCUGCAACUAAUCAAGGAACUAGGCUUAACUAUAUUUCUAAGGCAAUUAGUAACGUCGUAAAAGAAACGUAGUGUAGGCAGAAUCAUUAACAUUUCCAAACAUAGAGAGUUAGCCUCACAUACCUUAAUUAACUUCUUGUUGUUGAGCGUAAUACAACAUUCGCCAACCCUUUCAACUUUAAUCUAUAUCAAUACAAGUUAAAUGAUUCCAUAUUAGCAAUAAUACUCAUAUUUUGAUCACUUAGGCAUUCACUACUAGAAAUCCAGAAACAACUAUCCAAUAAACCGACCAAAAUCGAUCGGUAAUGGCCAGUAACCGUCCAAAAAGUGACCAUUUACGUGUGGUCGGUAUUUUGAAGGUCAGAAGAGCAUAAUGACCAAAGUUGAUAAGAAAUUACCGACCAACAUUGGUCGGUAUGCUCUACACGACUAUUUGACAAUUUAAUUGACUUAACGACCAAUAAUGGUCGGAAUGUUAUUUUAAUAAUUUAAUUUUACCGACCAACAUUGGUCGGUGUAUUAAAUUUAUUAAUUUUGCUUACCGACCAACUUUGGUCGGUAUUGAAAAAUUUAUAUUUUUAAUAAAUAAUUAAAAUUUAUAAAUACCGACCAACGUUGGCCGGUAAUCCGAACAGGGCAGCCAACUUACCGACCAAAGUUAGUCGGUAGUGUUGAAUUUAUGGGAAUUCAAUGUGCAUUAACCGACCAACAUUGGUCGGUAUUUUGUAAUUUAAUUUUUUUUAUUAGUUACCGACCAAGGUUGGUUGAUUUUCUAGGACUAAUUUUGGCAAAAAAUACUUAUUUUGGUAACUACACCACCUGUCAAAUAAAAAUAACAUACCAAUACCCCCAAUUUAACACAAACAACUCCUAAUUCACCACAAAUUCAACAAAAUAUCCAAUUAAUACUUUAAAACUAAUAAAGUUCAAUUAAACAUCACAAUCCAAAACCAAGCAAAAACUAAGUAAUUACAACAAGUUCAAAAGUGUUCAAUCUAAUUCAAAACUAGUUCUAUUAGUCUAGUUCAAAGUAUACUAAAGUAUUGGUCAAGGGGUGUUUUCUACAACAUCAUCACUAUCUUAUGAACUUUCAUCUACAAGACGGUAUAGAGAACGGUGUUGUGGAGGACUUGAAGAACGAUCACGGGGAGGACAGGAGGAACGAUCACGUGGAGGUCGAUCCUCUCGCGAUAAAUCAUGAGACCGGGGCAACAGAAAAGCUCCAGUAUAAAGGAGAGUUCUAAUCUGAGCUUGCAUAUCAAGGAAUUGAGCAUCUGUAAGCCUUUCUCUUUCUUUGGCCGCUUCUAGCUCGGAUGUAAGCCUUGUCAUUGUCUCCUACAUAGCCGAGAGGCCCUCCCUAUUAAGUGUCUCGCCCUGUGAGGAAGUCCACAUUCCUUGCAUUCCACACCUAUAACGGUGAAAUAGUUUCUCAGGAAGCCUGUAUACCUUCCCCCUUUUUGGACCACCAAUAACCUCUAACCAUAUUCUUUCAGCAUCCUCAUCCGAAGGUUGGGUUGGCUCGCCCGAUGCACCAUCUGGCUGACUACGAAUGAAUUCAUGCACGUUACUUUGGUAGCGACCCUACGUUAUUUUAGAUUAAAUUAGUAUUUAAAAAUUCUUAUAUAAGUAAAUUAUAACACUUAAAGAAAAUUUAAAGCUUACAUAUGCAGUCUCUGCCCGGUCCUCGACCCACCUAUCUGCAUCCCCCUAUUUCUUCUUCUUUAAAAUAUGUGUUUCCUUGAAUAGCUCAUCACGGCUCAUUGGACGUCCAUACUUCUUUUCCUAAAAAAAAAUUAAUUUAGUUAAUAAAUAGAAUUAAUAUACUUAGAAAAGUAAAUGAUUUAAGCAAUUACCAAUCUUCUUCUUAUUGUCCAGAUGCUAAUAGCACCCCCAGUGUGCAAGGAGCCUCCCUUCUCGGAUGAGCGAGCUUUAUGUCCUUGUUCGCUCCUCUUUAAGAAAUCCUCUGUCUGCCAUUGCCUUAACAAAUCAUCCCAUAAAUGCUGCAGGCACCAAUCAGGCCUCUUGUUCUUCUUUCUACCAUCUGAGAAAUGAUCCGCCAAUCUCUUACGGGCUUUGUGAUAAAAAUUUGCAGCCACUUUCUC
rnacentral:lncRNA from 1 species